rnacentral:rRNA from 1 species
GUGGGGAAUAUUGGACAAUGGGGGGAACCCUGAUCCAGCCAUGCCGCGUGUGUGAAGAAGGCCUUUUGGUUGUAAAGCACUUUAAGCGAGGAGGAGGCUACCGAGAUUAAUACUCUUGGAUAGUGGACGUUACUCGCAGAAUAAGCACCGGCUAACUCUGUGCCAGCAGCCGCGGUAAUACAGAGGGUGCAAGCGUUAAUCGGAUUUACUGGGCGUAAAGCGCGCGUAGGUGGCCAAUUAAGUCAAAUGUGAAAUCCCCGAGCUUAACUUGGGAAUUGCAUUCGAUACUGGUUGGCUAGAGUAUGGGAGAGGAUGGUAGAAUUCCAGGUGUAGCGGUGAAAUGCGUAGAGAUCUGGAGGAAUACCGAUGGCGAAGGCAGCCAUCUGGCCCAAUACUGACACUGAGGUGCGAAAGCAUGGGGAGCAAACAGGAUUAGAAACCCGAGUAGCC